UAUUAAUGCCGAUCGGCAACACCAUAACAAUCUCGUCCGCUCGACACAACCACUUGAAAAUAUUGUUCAACUCGAUACUUGGAACUCACCACCAGUUUUGGAUUUCUUUUAUUAUUAUUUUCUUGGGUCAGUCAACUCGUGACGCACUUGAAAAAAGAAAAAUGAACCGGUUCUGUAUUCUGCUGUUAUUGUGACCGCUAGAAACGGUUUGACGUGAAAUUUAUUCAGUUGAAGGACCUGGCACGUGUGAAUUCUUAAGAAACGAUCGGAACAACACUAGUUAUUCGUUCGUUGUCUUUUUCCAGCCAACAUUCCAACAGCACCAAGAUUCUGCCGUUAUCGGCAUCUGGGGAUUGAGUUUGUCUUUUUCACCUGGCUGUUGAUGAACAAUUCCGGAUGUCUUGCUGGACGUCGGAUUAAUCGGUCGACCCGAUAAGGUAGGUGCACUGGAUUCCUUUUAAAUGAGUAACCCACGUCCGUUUGAUUAAUUUGUGGUGAAGGAAAUUUUCCUGGCGCGCUAAUGACGACAAUCAACAGGCUCCUAUCACCACGACAUCGGUCUGUGACUGUCCUCGGGUUGAUUGAGUAUCCGAAAUGGACGUCGUUCAACACAUGUCCGAAUUCCAGUUUCAGUGGGGCUCCUCCGGCGAUCGGCUCCAACUUGAAUCGUAACUUGUAGUGACGGGUGUAUACUGGUCGGUCGGCUCCUCCGUCGUGGUAAAAUUUUCCAAUAGAUAAUUAGAGUAAAAUUUUUCCGCAAUUGUCCCUUUCGAAUAUGGAGUGUUGUGUAUGAAAAUGAUUGUCUAAAUUCAUUUUAUGUAAAGAUGUGGAGCAUUUUGAAAAUAUUUUUGACAAAGAUAAAUAGGAUAAAUUUUCAUUUAAUAGUACAGACUCGUAGCACAAUCACUAAAUGUAUCUUGUGAUGCCCACGGCUCGCCCGUCCAUCAUCUAUGAUUAGUGGAGAAAGCGAGAAAGUCAGGAGACGGAUCGCGACUACCCCGAGACUGAAAAGUUUAAUGAGCUCAUUUUUUUAGGUUUAUUGAUUAAUUUAUCGGAUUACUAAACAUUUUCGUCGAAUUUCUUACCUGUGAUUUUUUAGACGAAUAUUCAAAUCGUGUUGACUCUCCACUCCAGGUCUCGAGUCGCUUUUCUAUAUGCAUUUUGCUUUACAGUUUGUAUUAGCCAUUCAUUAUUUCAUCAAUUUCAUUAGUUGUUUUUUGUAUUUCUGAAUCUCCUGUCCUUAUUGCACGGUUUUUGUUUAAUGAUAAUUAAAAAAGAAAAACUUUUAGGGUGUCUGAAGGCCUUUAAUUUCCAUGUAUAACCCUGGGUCGUAACAAAGUCUGCAGUCAGGCGGAGGCUCCUUGUGGCCCCCCCUAGCAGCCUAACGCAUAUUUUAAUGGGCAUUCCCUGUUUCCACAAAAGAGUUCCUGAUAACCACAACUUCAGCUACCACAAAUCAGCUUUAUGGCCCAAUAAGUGUGGGUGAAUGUGAUGUUAUGGGUGCGAGCAACAUCCUUCAAACAGUAGAUAGAGUUCAGAAAUUGGCAACCACUAGGAUCCUCUUGUCUUUCUUCUAUCUUGAUUAAUGAUCACUGCAA